UAUGGUUGCAAACCAUUAGGAUGUAAGUGGGUGUUCAAGAAGAAGCUUAGGCCCGAUGGUACAAUUGAAAAGUACAAGGCUAGGCUUGUGGCCAAGGGCUAUGACCAGAAAGAAGAGGAAGAUUACUUCGACACUUAUUCACCUGUAGCUAGACUGACCACCAUUCGAGUAUUACUCUCGUUGGCAGCCUCGCAUGGUCUUCUCGUCCACCAGAUGGAUGUUAAGACGGCUUUUCUGAAUGGAGAGCUAAAAGAGGAAAUCUACAUGCAACAGCCAGAUGGCUUUGUGAUAGAUGGUCAGGAAAGAAAGGUGUGUAGGUUGCUGAAAUCUUUAUAUGGCCUGAAGCAAGCACCUAAGCAAUGGCAUGAUAAGUUUAAUACAACUCUGACAUCUGUUGGUUUCGUUGUUAAUGAGGCUGACAAAUGUGUAUACUAUCGCCAUGGUGGGGGUGAAGGAGUUAUACUGUGCUUGUAUGUUGAUGACAUACUGAUAUUCGGAACCAACCUCAAAGUCAUUGAGGAGGUCAAGUCGUUUUUGUCUCAGAACUUUGAGAUGAAAGACCUUGGUGUGGCUGAUGUUAUCUUGAACAUCAAGCUACUGAGAGAU
rnacentral:rRNA from 1 species